GUACUUGCUUCGGCAGUACAUAUACUAAAAUUGGAACGAUACAGAGAAGAUUAGCAUGGCCCCUGCGCAAGGAUGACAUAGAAAAAAAAAAGUGGUCAGCGUGACC